AGCAGUAGUUCAGUGGUAGAGUUCCCGCUUCGCAUGUGGGAAGAUUUGGGUUCGAUUUCCGGCUGCU
rnacentral:tRNA from 1 species